UGGCGCUCCUCUUUCCCUCCAUCAGCCGGGGUCCAGGUCUCCACAGGCAGAGACAUGAGGAGCAGUGGGGGCCUGAGGCUGCCGAGGGCCGCGUACCCUCUGGGGCUGUCUGUCUGCCUGCUUCUCUAUGUUGCCUACAUCAAGUGGCACUGGGCAUCUGGAGCUCAGGCCCUGCUCAGCAUCACAGAGGUGGCCUCGGGAGGCCGAGGGGGACAAAGGACAAGGAUACCCCCAGCCAUGGCCCCUCUCAGCCACCAGGCUUUCUACGGCAUCAUGUUUGACGCUGGGAGCACAGGCACCCGAGUGCACAUCUUCCACUUCUCCCAGCGGCCUGGAGAAACUCCUACCUUGAAACGUGAAACCUUCAAAGCACUGGAGCCAGGUCUUUCUGCUUACGCUGAUGACAUUGAAAAGAGCACUUUAGGAAUUCAGGAGUUAUUGGACGUAGCAAAACAAGAUAUCCCUUUUAACUUCUGGAAGGCCACCCCAUUGGUCCUCAAGGCCACAGCAGGUUUACGCCUGUUACCAGGAGAAAAGGCUCAGAAGCUACUGCAAAAGGUGAAAGAAGUAUUCAAAGCAUCACCUUUCCUUGUGAGGGACGACUGCGUUUCCAUCAUGAAUGGGACAGAUGAAGGUGUAUCUGCCUGGAUCACUGUCAACUUCCUCACAGGCCGUUUGGAAAACCCAGGAAGCAGGAAUGUAGGCAUGCUGGACUUGGGCGGAGGGUCCACUCAGAUCUCCUUCCUGCCAAGAUCCGAGGACACCCUUCAGGCUGCACCCCCUGGCCACCUGACUGCACUGCAGAUGUUUAACAGGACCUACAGGCUCUACGCCCACAGCUAUCUGGGGCUCGGGCUGAUGUCAGCUCGCCUGGCCAUCCUAGGUGGUGUGGAGGGGCAGCCUGCUCCAGAUGGAAAGGAGCUGGUCAGCCCCUGCCUGCCUCCCAGCUUCAGAGGAGAGUGGGAGCAUGCCGAGAUAGCAUACAGAAUUGCAGGACAGGACACAGCAGGGAGCCUGCAUGAGCUGUGUGCCAACAGAGUGUCCAGUGUCCUCCACAAUCAAGUACACAGGACAGAAGAAGUGAAGGAAGUGGAAUUUUAUGCUUUCUCCUAUUAUUAUGACCUUGCAGCAGAUGUGGGCCUCAUAGACAUGAAGAAAGGGGGCAGCCUGCUGGUGGGAGACUUUGAGCUUGCGGCUCAGUAUGUGUGCAGGACGGCAGAAGUCCGGCCCCUGAGCAGCCCCUUUGCCUGCAUGGACCUCACCUACAUCAGCCUGCUGCUGCAAGAGCUCGGCUUCCCCAGGAGCAAGGUGCUACAGCUCACUCGGAAGAUCCACAACAUUGAGACCAGCUGGGCUCUGGGAGCUACUUUUCACUACAUCGAGUCCCUGGGCAGACAGAAGAGUCUGGCAUCCUAAUCCCGUGUUGCCCACGUCCUCAGCUGGCCACUUGUCCUUGUGAGAAUAGGUCCGGAUGGGCGAGGGACCUGCCAUGCCAGCAGACAUAGGGUACUCAGCUUCACCCCAGGAGCCUGCACACAGGGCAGAGGCACACAGGGGCACCCAUCCCACUUCAGAGCCGGGCAGCAGAGGACCUGUCUUUUACAUUGGGAAAGUACUGAAUCCACAGGGCACACUGCUCAGGGCUGAGCACUCACACCUGAUCUGAGGGGUGACUGGCCCACCCAGCUUCAGAGGACAAGAGCGGAGAGGCCAGGACACAGACUGAAAAACCAGCCAGCACCUCCCGCCCAAGCUCCACAAAGUGUUCACCAUGAGACAGAGAGCUAGGGGUCUGUGGGACACAGGUAGGAGAAGUGCUUUCUGCAAAGAAAGGUCAGUAAGUCCUGCUCUUCACUGCUCCCCACUUCUCUGCUGGCUCCCCAGCCACACUGCCUCUGCCUCUCUGCCUCUGCCUCUGACAGCUCCACCAGCCCCAGUGCUUCUGUCUCUGCCUCUGCCGCUUCAGUCCUCUGCCCUCUGCCUCUGACAUCUGCCCUGUCCCUGCCCCUUCCUCUGCCUCUCAGCUCUGCCAGCCUCACUGCAUCCACAACAUCUGGCAUUUUAUUUUUUGUUUUUGAUAUUUGGGACUUCCCAUUUGUUGAAGUCUCCAAAGGUGUUUAUUUCUAGCCUGCUUUUAAAUACUUUAAAAAACCCAAAUAGCAGUUUAGGAGAUUGUCAAACAAAUUUAUGUUCAAUUUCUCUCUGAUUACUGUGAUUUUAACCUGUCCUUUAAAAAAAAGUUUAUUUUCUUUAUUUCAUAUGAGAUAUAAAGAAAUGAGAUCAUCUGCAACACCAGAUAUCAAACUGGGAGCGUCCAGCACAGAACUUUUUUUUUUUUUUAACUAGAACUCUGCAUCUUUGACUUAUAGUGGUACUAGGGAUUGAAUCUGGGACUUAGAGGAGACUAAGUUGUGAAAGUCUAUCACAUAAACUGCUGCGCUAUCUUCCCAGCACCCUGCAGUUUUGAGAUUUAAAGAGCACCAAAGGCAGGGCUGGGUGGUGGUGCACCCAGCACCCAGGCUUCGUGCUGACCACAGUCCCAAGGCCAGUUGCAGCACUCAUACAGAUAGUUCGCUCUUGCCCUA